GUCCAGACUCCUACGGGGGGCAGCAGUGGGGAAUAUUGCACAAUGGGGGAAACCCUGAUGCAGCAACGCCGCGUGAGUGAAGAAGUAUUUCGGUAUGUAAAGCUCUAUCAGCAGGGAAGAAGAAAGACGGUACCUGACUAAGAAGCCCCGGCUAACUACGUGCCAGCAGCCGCGGUAAUACGUAGGGGGCAAGCGUUAUCCGGAUUUACUGGGUGUAAAGGGAGCGUAGACGGCAUAGCAAGUCUGAAGUGAAAGCCCGUGGCUCAACCGCGGAACUGCUUUGGAAACUGCGAGGCUGGAGUGUCGGAGAGGCAGGCGGAAUUCCUAGUGUAGCGGUGAAAUGCGUAGAUAUUAGGAGGAACACCAGUGGCGAAGGCGGCCUGCUGGACGAUGACUGACGCUGAGGCUCGAAAGCGUGGGGAGCAAACAGGAUUAGAUACCCCCGUAUA
rnacentral:rRNA from 1 species